rnacentral:rRNA from 1 species
AUACGUAGGGUGCGAGCGUUGUCCGGAAUUACUGGGCGUAAAGAGCUCGUAGGUGGUUUGUCGCGUCGUCUGUGAAAUUCCGGGGCUUAACUCCGGGCGUGCAGGCGAUACGGGCAUAACUUGAGUACUGUAGGGGAGACUGGAAUUCCUGGUGUAGCGGUGAAAUGCGCAGAUAUCAGGAGGAACACCGGUGGCGAAGGCGGGUCUCUGGGCAGCAACUGACGCUGAGGAGCGAAAGCAUGGGUAGCGAACAGGAUUAGAUACCCUGGUAGCCCAUGCCGUAAACGGUGGGCGCUAGGUGUAGGGGUCUUCCACGACUUCUGUGCCGUAGCUAACGCAUUAAGCGCCCCGCCUGGGGAGUACGGCCGCAAGGCUAAAACUCAAAGGAAUUGACGGGG